GUGAACAUAAUUUAAACAAAAUUCUAGUCUGUGACUCUAGUAAUGGGAACUAAUCAUUCCCUGUCCACC
rnacentral:tRNA from 1 species